rnacentral:rRNA from 1 species
GUCGAGCGAAUCAAUAGGAGCUUGCUCCUGUUGAUUAGCGGCGGACGGGUGAGUAACACGUGGGCAACCUGCCUGUAAGACUGGGAUAACUUCGGGAAACCGGAGCUAAUACCGGAUAAUCCUUUUCCUCUCAUGAGGAAAAGCUGAAAGUCGGUUUCGGCUGACACUUACAGAUGGGCCCGCGGCGCAUUAGCUAGUUGGUGAGGUAACGGCUCACCAAGGCGACGAUGCGUAGCCGACCUGAGAGGGUGAUCGGCCACACUGGGACUGAGACACGGCCCAGACUCCUACGGGAGGCAGCAGUAGGGAAUCUUCCGCAAUGGACGAAAGUCUGACGGAGCAACGCCGCGUGAGCGAUGAAGGCCUUCGGGUCGUAAAGCUCUGUUGUUAGGGAAGAACAAGUAUCGGAGUAACUGCCGGUACCUUGACGGUACCUAACCAGAAAGCCACGGCUAACUACGUGCCAGCAGCCGCGGUAAUACGUAGGUGGCAAGCGUUGUCCGGAAUUAUUGGGCGUAAAGCGCGCGCAGGCGGUCCUUUAAGUCUGAUGUGAAAGCCCACGGCUCAACCGUGGAGGGUCAUUGGAAACUGGGGGACUUGAGUGCAGAAGAGGAAAGCGGAAUUCCACGUGUAGCGGUGAAAUGCGUAGAGAUGUGGAGGAACACCAGUGGCGAAGGCGGCUUUCUGGUCUGUAACUGACGCUGAGGCGCGAA